UACGGAGGGUGCGAGCGUUGUCCGGAAUCACUGGGCGUAAAGCGCACGUAGGCGGCUUUGCAAGUCGGAUGUGAAAUCCCUCGGCUUAACCAAGGAAGUGCAUCCGAAACUGCAGAGCUUGAGUACUUAAGAGGAUCGCGGAAUUCCCGGUGUAGAGGUGAAAUUCGUAGAUAUCGGGAGGAACACCAGUGGCGAAGGCGGCGAUCUGGGAAGAUACUGACGCUGAGGUGCGAAAGCGUGGGGGAGCAAACAGG
rnacentral:rRNA from 1 species